CAGCAGUGGGGGAUAUUGCACAAUGGGGGAAACCCUGAUGCAGCGACGCCGCGUGAGGGAAGACGGUUUUCGGAUUGUAAACCUCUGUCUUUAGGGACGAAAAAAUGACGGUACCUAAGGAGGAAGCCACGGCUAACUACGUGCCAGCAGCCGCGGUAAUACGUAGGUGGCAAGCGUUGUCCGGAAUUACUGGGUGUAAAGGGAGCGUAGGCGGGGAGACAAGUUGAAUGUCUAAACUAUCGGCUUAACUGAUAGUCGCGUUCAAAACUAUCACUCUUGAGUGCAGUAG
rnacentral:rRNA from 1 species